AUUGAACGCUGGCGGCAUGCUUUACACAUGCAAGUCGAACGGCAGCGCGGGCUUCGGCCUGGCGGCGAGUGGCGAACGGGUGAGUAAUGCAUCGGAACGUGCCCAGUAGUGGGGGAUAGCCCGGCGAAAGCCGGAUUAAUACCGCAUACGACCUGAGGGUGAAAGCGGGGGACCGAAAGGCCUCGCGCUAUUGGAGCGGCCGAUGUCGGAUUAGCCAGUUGGUGGGGUAAAGGCUUACCAAGGCGACGAUCCGUAGCUGGUCUGAGAGGACGACCAGCCACACUGGGACUGAGACACGGCCCAGACUCCUACGGGAGGCAGCAGUGGGGAAUUUUGGACAAUGGAGGCAACCCUGAUCCAGCCAUGCCGCGUGCGGGAAGAAGGCCUUCGGGUUGUAAACCGCUUUUGUUCGGGAAGAAAUCCUCUGGGCUAAUACCCCGGGGGGAUGACGGUACCGGAAGAAUAAGCACCGGCUAACUACGUG
rnacentral:rRNA from 1 species